rnacentral:lncRNA from 1 species
UUUUAUCUCUAUAGAGUCAUUCUCUCUCUUUGAUUGCAUAACAGACCCUAGGAUAAACUUGAGAUGAAAAUAUGAUGAUCUAAGACUGCUCCAAAAUUUGUACAGUAGAUUGAAUCCCGAUCCGAUCCUUAUUCGAAAUUGAUAACAUCAAUCAUGGUUAAUUCAUAUUAAGUCACCCUGAUAUGACCUCUGAUGAUCUCAAUCAUGAUUGUCACUUUUGAAGGAUACGAAAAUUCUCUCUCCACUUUCUCUCUCUACUUUCUCUCUCAUGAUUGACUUUCUCUCUCUAAGAAGGUCUAUGAAUCCUAUGUCGAAUCAUGCCUUCAUCUUUUAGGGGCUCAUAUUGACUCUAACAAGAUGAUCCAAAGUUGCUUUGAUAUCCGUGCUGUAUGUCAACCUCAUUUGAUCAUAUCAAAGAUCUUUCAAAUUCAUUAUUAAUGAACUCUACUGAUUAAUCUUGAUCUAAUUUGUGCUUCACAACUUCUUGAUCAAGUCACUUAAAUCUGACUCUCAAAUCAGAGAUCCUGAAUUGCCCUGGUAUCUGGAUGGUCCGA